rnacentral:rRNA from 1 species
AUUGAACGCUGGCGGCAUGCCUAACACAUGCAAGUCGAACGGUAACGCGGGGCCACCUGGCGACGAGUGGCGAACGGGGGAGUAAUGCAUCGGAACGUGCCCAGUAAUGGGGGGUAGCCCGUCGAAAGCCGGAUUAAUACCGCAUGAGACCUGAGGUUGAAAGCGGGGGAUCGCAAGCCCUCGCUCUUUUGGAUCGGCCGAUGUCAGAUUAGCUAGUUGGUGGGGUAAAGGCCUACCAAGGCGACGAUCUGUAGCUGGUCUGAGAGGACGACCAGCCACACUGGGACUGAGACACGGCCCAGACUCCUACGGGAGGCAGCAGUGGGGAAUUUUGGACAAUGGGCGCAAGCCUGAUCCAGCCAUGCCGCGUGCGGGAAGAAGGCCUUCGGGUUGUAAACCGCUUUUGUCAGGGAAGAAACGCUCUGGGCUAAUACCCUGGGGUAAUGACGGUACCUGAAGAAUAAGCACCGGCUAACUACGUG